UACGUAGGGACCAAGCGUUGUUCGGAUUUACUGGGCGUAAAGGGCGCGUAGGCGGCAAUUCAAGUCAUCUGUGAAAUCUCCGGGCUUAACCCGGAACGGUCAGAUGAUACUGCUUUGCUAGAGUGCGGAAGGGGCAAUCGGAAUUCUUGGUGUAGCGGUGAAAUGCGUAGAUAUCAAGAGGAACACCUAAGGUGAAGACGGGUUGCUGGGCCGACACUGACGCUGACAGCGCGAAAGCCAGGGGAGCAAACGGG
rnacentral:rRNA from 1 species